rnacentral:tRNA from 1 species
GAAUAAGAAGCAAUAACUGCAUUUAGUUUCGACCUAAAAAUUUGAUUAAUUAUCCUUAUUU